rnacentral:lncRNA from 1 species
GUAAAAUAUUUGACUGGUUACGUUCAGUGUUCUUAGAUUUAUCUUCAAUUCCACUAUCUUUGUUUCCAUGAUGCCUUUUAGCCUUAUUGCUACGCUGUGCUCUGGCCUUAAGUACAACCUUCUGAACAAUUUCAAGUUGUUCCUGAAUUCCAGGAAAAUGAAAGUCCGUGCAUUCUUGGCAAACAGUUGCAAAAUCUCUUUUGAUGCCACUAUACGAACUGAUACGGUUAUCUACCAAUAAAACCAGGCCACAGAGAGACGUUGAAUAGAGAGACAUUGCGGUUUGAAGUCUGUGAAGCUUUACUCCAUUACGAUGAUUACGUUUAUGUUUACAGAAAUCCAGCAUAUCGGCUCUCAGUAAUCUCAAAUUAUGCAUGGUCUUCAACUGAGCUCCCAAGUGAAUAGUAAAACUUUCUUCUAAAAGACUUUGCUCUUCAUAAAUUCUUCCAUUUCCUUCUACAGAAUCCCUCAAUUGACUGGGCUGAACCUUAAUUUCAUCACUGAUUGAGCUGUUGUUGGGAUUCUUUAGGUCAUGAUGAAGUUUUAUCACCCAUUCCUGAUAUUCCUGCUUCUGAAUAGCAGUAGAUUGUUUUAAUUCAUUGGUCCAUUUGUUCUCCAAAUCCUGCUGAGAUUCAAAAUGCCGAGCUGCUAAUGAAUUUACAUCUUGGUCCGUUAGUGAUUUCCCUAGUUCCUGCAUCACCUUAUCCAUUUCUGCUCCUUGUCUUUCCUGUAGUUUUUUCAAUUCCACAUCUCUUUCACUUAUUAAUUCUGAGAUGCUAACAAAAUAAUUGUGUUCCAGGUUUAACAGUGUCUCAGAAGCUGGAGAAUGUAUCAGAUCAUGAUAAACAUCUGCAAAAU